rnacentral:rRNA from 1 species
GACGAACGCUGGCGGCGUGCUUAACACAUGCAAGUCGUACGGUAAGGCCCUUUCGGGGGUCCACGAGUGGCGGACGGGUGAGUAACACGUGCGUAACCUGCCCACACCUUUGGGAUAACGCUCGGAAACUGGUGCUAAUACUGGAUAUGUGCUCCUUCUGCAUGGUGGGGGUUGGAAAGCUCCGGCGGUUGUGGAUGGACUCGCGGCCUAUCAGCUUGUUGGUUGGGUAGUUGCCUACCAAGGCGGCGACGGGUAGCCGGCCUGAGAGGGUGACCGGCCACAAUGGGAAUGAGGUUACGCCCCAGACCCUUCGGGGGGGAAGCGGGGGGGAUUAUGGAAAAUGGGGCGGAGGCCGGUGCAGGCACGGCGGGGUGCGGAAUGACGGCUUCCGGUUGGUAAACGCUUUCAGCAGGGACGAAGCUUUUUGUGACGGUACCUGCAGAAGAAGCACCGGCUAACUACGUG